GGAAAACGCGCGCGUAGACGAAGAGCAUCACCAGAAGCGGGAGGUAGAAGGAGACGGAGGAGGAGAGCAGCGCGUAGGAGCCCCGACACCUGGACUUCUCUGCCACGUUGUGCCCACUCCUGCCAUACCACCGCACUCACUCAGCGCAGCACUCCGUCAGCCCUGAUUUCCUGAACUCUGCACCAGUUUCCCGGGAAGAUCCAGCAACGACGCCGGCUGAUGGGUAACGAAGACCGCUCCCUCCACACCAGUGCGGCCACCACCUUAUCUUGUUAGAGGAAAAGGACAUCAGAGUUGGAUAAGUGGGCAAGGAAAUCAAGCAACUUCAAAGGAUGUCAUUGCUUUAGCGGGUGACCUCAAUAUUCUGACCAAGGGUCUAAAAUGUUUACAUUUUCAAAAAAGACAAGAUUUCCCAAGCCACAUGAGUAUGCUUGAGUUUGGGGACUGAUUAGGCCAGUAACCAAAGGAGAGCAUGAACAGAGGAAUUCCAGGCCCCUGUUGGAGAAGGCUUUUAUGAGCAAGCAGAGAAAUGCUUAAGCACCUGGUGUGCUUCCCUCUGCUCACUCCCCAGUUCCUGCUCCCAUUUCUAGUCUGGCCUCCCCCUGCCCAAGCGGCUGCCAAGGAGAAGGGCUCCCUCCUUUGCCACUUUGUUCUCUCUUUUCUGGGCUUUUGUGUUAUUUUCACUCAAUCUUUUGAAUAGGUAAUGCAUUCAUGUUAUUCAGCCAUCAAAAUGCAUGUUAGAAAGUCGCCUUCAGGGGCACCUGGGUGGCUCAGUGG